rnacentral:rRNA from 1 species
ACACAUGCAGUCGGACGGUAGCACAGAGAGAGCUUGCUCUUCGGGUGACGAGUGGCGGACGGGUGAGUAAUGUCUGGGAAACUGCCCGAUGGAGGGGGAUAACUACUGGAAACGGUAGCUAAUACCGCAUAACGUCGCAAGACCAAAGUGGGGGACCUUCGGGCCUCACACCAUCGGAUGUGCCCAGAUGGGAUUAGCUAGUAGGUGGGGUAACGGCUCACCUAGGCGACGAUCCCUAGCUGGUCUGAGAGGAUGACCAGCCACACUGGAACUGAGACACGGUCCAGACUCCUACGGGAGGCAGCAGUGGGGAAUAUUGCACAAUGGGCGCAAGCCUGAUGCAGCCAUGCCGCGUGUAUGAAGAAGGCCUUCGGGUUGUAAAGUACUUUCAGCGGGGAGGAAGGCGGCAAGGUUAAUAACCUUGCCGAUUGACGUUACCCGCAGAAGAAGCACCGGCUAACUCCGUGCCAGCAGCCGCGGUAAUACGGAGGGUGCAAGCGUUAAUCGGAAUUACUGGGCGUAAAGCGCACGCAGGCGGUCUGUUAAGUCAGAUGUGAAAUCCCCGGGCUUAACCUGGGAACUGCAUUUGAAACUGGCAGGCUUGAGUCUCGUAGAGGGGGGUAGAAUUCCAGGUGUAGCGGUGAAAUGCGUAGAGAUCUGGAGGAAUACCGGUGGCGAAGGCGGCCCCCUGGACGAAGACUGACGCUCAGGUGCGAAAGCGUGGGGAGCAAACAGGAUUAGAUACC